rnacentral:rRNA from 1 species
GAUGAACGCUGGCGGCGUGCCUAAUACAUGCAAGUCGAGCGAACAGACGAGGAGCUUGCUCCUUUGACGUUAGCGGCGGACGGGUGAGUAACACGUGGGUAACCUACCUAUAAGACUGGGAUAACUUCGGGAAACCGGAGCUAAUACUGGAUAAUAUUUCGAACCGCAUGGUUCGAUAGUGAAAGAUGGCUCUGCUAUCACUUAUAGAUGGACCUGCGCCGUAUUAGCUAGUUGGUAAGGUAACGGCUUACCAAGGCAACGAUACGUAGCCGACCUGAGAGGGUGAUCGGCCACACUGGAACUGAGACACGGUCCAGACUCCUACGGGAGGCAGCAGUAGGGAAUCUUCCGCAAUGGGCGAAAGCCUGACGGAGCAACGCCGCGUGAGUGAUGAAGGUCUUCGGAUCGUAAAACUCUGUUAUUAGGGAAGAACAAACGUGUAAGUAACUGUGCACGUCUUGACGGUACCUAAUCAGAAAGCCACGGCUAACUACGUGCCAGCCGCCGCGGUAAUAC